rnacentral:rRNA from 1 species
UUAAGCGACUAAGCGUACACGGUGGAUGCCCUGGCAGUCAGAGGCGAUGAAGGACGUGCUAAUCUGCGAUAAGCGUCGGUAAGGUGAUAUGAACCGUUAUAACCGGCGAUUUCCGAAUGGGGAAACCCAGUGUGAUUCGUCACACUAUCAUUAACUGAAUCCAUAGGUUAAUGAGGCGAACCGGGGGAACUGAAACAUCUAAGUACCCCGAGGAAAAGAAAUCAACCGAGAUUCCCCCAGUAGCGGCGAGCGAACGGGGAGCAGCCCAGAGCCUGAAUCAGUGUGUGUGUUAGUGGAAGCGUCUGGAAAGGCGCGCGAUACAGGGUGACAGCCCCGUACACAAAAAUGCACAUAUUGUGAGCUCGAUGAGUAGGGCGGGACACGUGGUAUCCUGUCUGAAUAUGGGGGGACCAUCCUCCAAGGCUAAAUACUCCUGACUGACCGAUAGUGAACCAGUACCGUGAGGGAAAGGCGAAAAGAACCCCGGCGAGGGGAGUGAAAAAGAACCUGAAACCGUGUACGUACAAGCAGUGGGAGCACGCUUAGGCGUGUGACUGCGUACCUUUUGUAUAAUGGGUCAGCGACUUAUAUUCUGUAGCAAGGUUAACCGAAUAGGGGAGCCGAAGGGAAACCGAGUCUUAACUGGGCGUUAAGUUGCAGGGUAUAGACCCGAAACCCGGUGAUCUAGCCAUGGGCAGGUUGAAGGUUGGGUAACACUAACUGGAGGACCGAACCGACUAAUGUUGAAAAAUUAGCGGAUGACUUGUGGCUGGGGGUGAAAGGCCAAUCAAACCGGGAGAUAGCUGGUUCUCCCCGAAAGCUAUUUAGGUAGCGCCUCGUGAAUUCAUCUCCGGGGGUAGAGCACUGUUUCGGCAAGGGGGUCAUCCCGACUUACCAACCCGAUGCAAACUGCGAAUACCGGAGAAUGUUAUCACGGGAGACACACGGCGGGUGCUAACGUCCGUCGUGAAGAGGGAAACAACCCAGACCGCCAGCUAAGGUCCCAAAGUCAUGGUUAAGUGGGAAACGAUGUGGGAAGGCCCAGACAGCCAGGAUGUUGGCUUAGAAGCAGCCAUCAUUUAAAGAAAGCGUAAUAGCUCACUGGUCGAGUCGGCCUGCGCGGAAGAUGUAACGGGGCUAAACCAUGCACCGAAGCUGCGGCAGCGACGCUGAUGCGUUGUUGGGUAGGGGAGCGUUCUGUAAGCCUGCGAAGGUGUGCUGUGAGGCAUGCUGGAGGUAUCAGAAGUGCGAAUGCUGACAUAAGUAACGAUAAAGCGGGUGAAAAGCCCGCUCGCCGGAAGACCAAGGGUUCCUGUCCAACGUUAAUCGGGGCAGGGUGAGUCGACCCCUAAGGCGAGGCCGAAAGGCGUAGUCGAUGGGAAACAGGUUAAUAUUCCUGUACUUGGUGUUACUGCGAAGGGGGGACGGAGAAGGCUAUGUUGGCCGGGCGACGGUUGUCCCGGUUUAAGCGUGUAGGCUGGUUUUCCAGGCAAAUCCGGAAAAUCAAGGCUGAGGCGUGAUGACGAGGCACUACGGUGCUGAAGCAACAAAUGCCCUGCUUCCAGGAAAAGCCUCUAAGCAUCAGGUAACAUCAAAUCGUACCCCAAACCGACACAGGUGGUCAGGUAGAGAAUACCAAGGCGCUUGAGAGAACUCGGGUGAAGGAACUAGGCAAAAUGGUGCCGUAACUUCGGGAGAAGGCACGCUGAUAUGUAGGUGAAGCGACUUGCUCGUGGAGCUGAAAUCAGUCGAAGAUACCAGCUGGCUGCAACUGUUUAUUAAAAACACAGCACUGUGCAAACACGAAAGUGGACGUAUACGGUGUGACGCCUGCCCGGUGCCGGAAGGUUAAUUGAUGGGGUCAGCGCAAGCGAAGCUCUUGAUCGAAGCCCCGGUAAACGGCGGCCGUAACUAUAACGGUCCUAAGGUAGCGAAAUUCCUUGUCGGGUAAGUUCCGACCUGCACGAAUGGCGUAAUGAUGGCCAGGCUGUCUCCACCCGAGACUCAGUGAAAUUGAACUCGCUGUGAAGAUGCAGUGUACCCGCGGCAAGACGGAAAGACCCCGUGAACCUUUACUAUAGCUUGACACUGAACAUUGAGCCUUGAUGUGUAGGAUAGGUGGGAGGCUUUGAAGUGUGGACGCCAGUCUGCAUGGAGCCGACCUUGAAAUACCACCCUUUAAUGUUUGAUGUUCUAACGUGGACCCGUGAUCCGGGUUGCGGACAGUGUCUGGUGGGUAGUUUGACUGGGGCGGUCUCCUCCUAAAGAGUAACGGAGGAGCACGAAGGUUGGCUAAUCCUGGUCGGACAUCAGGAGGUUAGUGCAAUGGCAUAAGCCAGCUUGACUGCGAGCGUGACGGCGCGAGCAGGUGCGAAAGCAGGUCAUAGUGAUCCGGUGGUUCUGAAUGGAAGGGCCAUCGCUCAACGGAUAAAAGGUACUCCGGGGAUAACAGGCUGAUACCGCCCAAGAGUUCAUAUCGACGGCGGUGUUUGGCACCUCGAUGUCGGCUCAUCACAUCCUGGGGCUGAAGUAGGUCCCAAGGGUAUGGCUGUUCGCCAUUUAAAGUGGUACGCGAGCUGGGUUUAGAACGUCGUGAGACAGUUCGGUCCCUAUCUGCCGUGGGCGCUGGAGAACUGAGGGGGGCUGCUCCUAGUACGAGAGGACCGGAGUGGACGCAUCACUGGUGUUCGGGUUGUCAUGCCAAUGGCACUGCCCGGUAGCUAAAUGCGGAAGAGAUAAGUGCUGAAAGCAUCUAAGCACGAAACUUGCCCCGAGAUGAGUUCUCCCUGACUCCUUGAGAGUCCUGAAGGAACGUUGAAGACGACGACGUUGAUAGGCCGGGUGUGUAAGCGCAGCGAUGCGUUGAGCUAACCGGUACUAAUGAACCGUGAGGCUUAACCUU